GACGAACGCUGGCGGCGUGCCUAAUACAUGCAAGUCGAGCGGAAAUUUUAUUGGUGCUUGCACCUUUGAAAUUUUAGCGGCGGACGGGUGAGUAACACGUGGGUAACCUGCCUUAUAGAUUGGGAUAACUCCGGGAAACCGGGGCUAAUACCGAAUAAUACUUUUAAACACAUGUUUUGAAGUUGAAAGACGGUUUCGGCUGUCGCUAUAAGAUGGACCCGCGGCGCAUUAGCUAGUUGGUGAGGUAACGGCUCACCAAGGCAACGAUGCGUAGCCGACCCGAGAGGGUGAUCGGCCACACUGGGACUGGGACACGGCCCAGACUCCUACGGGAGGCAGCAGUAGGGAAUCUUCCACAAUGGACGAAAGUCUGAUGGAGCAACGCCGCGUGAGUGAAGAAGGAUUUCGGUUCGUAAAACUCUGUUGCAAGGGAAGAACAAGUAGCGUAGUAACUGGCGCUACCUUGACGGUACCUUGUUAGAAAGCCACGGCUAACUACGUGCCAGCAGCCGCCGUAA
rnacentral:rRNA from 1 species